AUCACCACUCAUGGACUAUGGGUGACAUCUACCUCCUCCACAUGAGUGGCCUCUGUGACUUCAACCACCACCUCCACUCCCCAAUUGGUCUAUCAGAGAAAUGAUGUCACAGGGCCAUUGUUGCCUGCAGAAUCAGAGAACCAGACUGGCUCAUACCGACAAUCACUACUUACUGGACCAGAAGCCCAAGAUCAGAACUCUCCACAGGAACCAGAACACCAUGGCAGUUUGCAUUAAUUAGGAGAAAGUCAAUUGCACCAGCAAAUGGAAAUCUAGGAAGAAGCAAAUCCAGUAAGUAGUGUGCUUAGUUUCUUUACAUGUUGUAGCUGCACUUUUCACACUGGUAAAGCAUAACAAUAUCCUGACCUUUUGCAGAGCAGUUGUUUGACUACUUAAUUGUCAUUGAUUUUGAGUCGACAUGCUGGAAUGAUGGGAAACACCACCAGAGCCAGGAAAUAAGUAAGUCUGGACUGCUGAUGGCCAGGACUAGCACUUGAUGAGUAACUUGAAGAUUUAUAGAUAGAAAUGAGUCAACGGUUAGUUUGAGAAAACGAAAUGGUCUAUGAAUUGGUAGUUUGCUAUAAAACCUGAUUUGUCAAAAAAAGAACAAGAACCUAAAUACCUAAAUGUGUCAUCACAUAAAAUAAUUGUUUUAGGGUUACACACGAAAUCUCAAUUGCAUAGAAACUAAAAAAAAAACCUUUGUAAAAAAGGAGUAUAUUUCAACUUCCAUGUAGCCUUCGUAAUUUAAUUGUGGAAAUAUGUUCAUGAAUUUUAAGUAGAUAGACUCAUAGCUUCAAUACUUUGACUUACUCUUUGGCAUAACCUUAUUAUAAUCAUUAUAUCACACUACUUUGGUCAUUUUAAUAUGCUUUUACUGAAACCGAUUGUUUAAUAAUGCUAUAUGAUCGUAAUCUAUGUUUAAUUUAGAGUGAUUACAGCAUUAAUUUAACAAUUACAUAUUCAAGUGUCAGUUGCAUCUUUCAUGUAGUUGAAUUUCCAGCAGUACUGCUGAACACAUCAACUGGAGACAUUGAACCUGAGUUCCAUGCUUAUGUUCAGCCUCCGGAACAUCCAGUUCUUUCUGAAUUUUGCAUGAGACUCGCAGGCAUGAAGCAGGUAUUUCCAGCAGUUUAAGUUCCAGCAGUGUAAGCCAUUUUUUCUUGCUGUGUUUAAGAUCCACCUAGCUGCAUUUUUAGCGUGUGCCUGGUGUUUUGAUGUGCGUUUACAUAGUGGUUGGACAAGUUUAGUCAUUUGGCUGAAUGGCAAAUCAGCAUCAGCCUAUGGUUUGUCUGCCUGUAGCCUUCAUAGGUGUCCAGCUUAGUGCUGUGUUUCCCAUCCUGCAUCACCCCAGGGCUGAUGGAUCUUCCUGCAGCCUCACAAUGCUUCAGAUUCUUUUUUUUUUUUUCCUAAAGAUUGGCACCUGGGCUAACAACUGUUGCCAGUCUUUUUUUUUUUU